rnacentral:ncRNA from 1 species
AUUAGCGCCAGGACCGUAAUUGGUUGACGAGGACGGCAGUUAUCGAGGGAUUCGGCGGAUGUUGCCGCGGCCACAGUGGGUCGUCAGAGAAUUGUAAAAAGCAGAAUCAAUACUGUAACAGAGCGGUU